UCAUCAAACUAAUAAAGUUUUGUUUCAUUAUUCUUCUAUCUUCCAAAGUAAUUAUUAAUAUAUAUCGGUGAUGGCUUCUUCAGAUGAUUAUUCCACCAUUCCAAGUCACACAAAAGCAUGGUUCUAUUCGAAACAUGGGAAUCCAGGUGAUGUUCUAAAGGUACAUCCAAAUUGGCCAAUACCAGAACUCAAUGAGGACCAAGUUCUCAUCAAAGUUGUGGCUGCAUCCCUUAAUCCAGUUGAUAAUAAAAGAAUUACCGACUUCUACAAAGACAUUAACAACCCUGAUCCACUUCUUCCUAUUGUUCCAGGGUUUGAUGUUGCCGGUAUAGUGGUAAAAUUGGGAAAUCAAGUCACGAAAUUUAAGGUUGGUGACGAAGUUUACGGUGACAUUCAAGAGGGAGGCAUAGAAAAUCUGAAGAAACUUGGAACAUUGUCCGAGUAUACUAUUGCUGAGGAGAGGCUUUUGGCUCACAAGCCUCCAAAUCUCAGCUUUGUUGAAGCUGCUAGCUUUCCUGCGGCAGUUGAGACUGCUUAUGAAGGACUUGAGAGAGCUGACUUUUCUGCUGGCAAAUCUAUUCUUGUUCUUGGAGGUGCUGGCGGUGUUGGAACCCAAGUUAUUCAGCUUGCGAAGCAUGUGUAUGGCGCAUCAAGGAUAGCAGCAACAUCAAGCACUGGAAAACUCGAAUUAUUGAGAAAACUGGGAGUUGACUUCCCUAUUGAUUACACAAAGGAGAACUUUGAAGAGCUGUCAGAAAAGUUUGAUCUAGUCUACGAUACAGUAGGUUCAACGACAAAGAAAUCAAUGGCAUUGAGAUGGUUCUUCAAGAUAUCAAAACAUGCUGUUUUCAAAAUUUCUAGGGUUGUAGGAUCCGUGCUUCAAUCCCAAAACCAUUGAUCAAGAAGUGGAGAGGUAAUAUUUUGGAGUUUAGCAUGUACGUGAUGUCUAACUUUAUAGUGGUGGAAAAAAAAAGAGAAAAUCAAGAUAACUACAAAUAGAUGGACCAUCAAUUUUUCAUAGAAGACCACUAUUCUUCUGGUACCUCAUCCCAGUUUUCCUCUAGAGGCAUUUUCUUUUAAGCCUAUUGUGGAGUUGCUUCGAGUUGACAAGAUCGAUGAUUCAAUACUCAUAGAUGUCAUUGGUGAAGUUGUUGAAAAAGAGGAUCCAAGAGAGUUGAUUACCAGCAAAGGCAGAGAGACAA